GACGAACGCUGGCGGCGUGCUUAACACAUGCAAGUCGAACGGAAAGGCCCUGCUUGCCGGGUACUCGAGUGGCGAACGGGUGAGUAACACGUGGGUGAUCUGCCCUGCACUUCGGGUUAAGCCUGGGAAACUGGGUCUAAUACCGGAUAGGAGCCAUUUUUAGUGUGAUGGUUGGAAAGUUUUUUCGGUGUAGGAUGAGCUCGCGGCCUAUCAGCUUGUUGGUGGGGUAAUGGCCUACCAAGGCGGCGACGGGUAGCCGGCCUGAGAGGGUGGACGGCCACAUUGGGACUGAGAUACGGCCCAGACUCCUACGGGAGGCAGCAGUGGGGAAUAUUGCACAAUGGGCGCAAGCCUGAUGCAGCGACGCCGCGUGGGGGAUGACGGCCUUCGGGUUGUAAACUCCUUUCGCUAGGGACGAAGCUUUUUGUGACGGUACCUAGAUAAGAAGCACCGGCUAACUACGUG
rnacentral:rRNA from 1 species